CGUAAAAAGCCUAUUAUAAUACAAUACAUUUAAAUACAUAAAAAAGCCCCGUAACUCUGUUAAGGUCUUUAUUUCUACUGUCACCUACCUUCAAUAGUCCCCACCUAUAUCAGUUACUUUCAGUCUCUCGAGAUCUUGUAAUACUCCAUUGAUCCAUUGUUUCUUUGAUCUGCUUCUGUAGCCUCUCCCUAUUUGUUGACACUCAAUUCGUGUCCUUACAUUAUUGGUUUCUUCUCUUCUCAUUGUAUACACAAAUCAUCGAAUUCCCUAUCACUUCAUAAAACUUUGUUUUAUGUGGUACUUAAGUAAUUUACCUAAUUCCCCCCUCCCUUUUUUUCCUCCACGCUGGUUAUUUAUUGCGUUAUUGAACACCGGUCUACAUAUUAUUAUUAUUAUUAGAACUUUGUUCUCGAAGCUCGGUGGUUUUUGUUCAAUGUACACCGUCAUAAACCAUUCACGUUUAUACGUUAUAGUCCGUCUGCAAUAAGUUAGGUAGAAUAUAACAUGUGCGUAUGAAAAACAAAACACUAAAUUCUGUACCUCAGAACCAUACGAACGCAAGUCACAUUUUUUUUUAAGCGAAAAACUAAAAAAGGAACAUGUUUCCUGCCAUAUAUCAGGACUUACGCUCGUAUAAUCCUGGUAAAAUAAUGGAAGGAGUAUUUUUAACAGACUUC